rnacentral:rRNA from 1 species
GCUUGUCUCAAAGAUUAAGCCAUGCAUGUCUUAGUGUAAAUAACUCUUAUGAAACUGCGAAUGGCUCAUUAAAUCAGUUAUCAAAUACGUGAUGGUCGCCUACUACAUGGAUAACCGUAGUAAUUCUAGAGCUAAUACAUGCAAAAAGCCUGGACUUCUGGAACAGGCGUAUUUAUUAGAUAUACAAACCAACCGCUUCGGCGACCUUGGGUGACUCAUAAUAACUGUUCGAAUCGCACGGGCAACCGGCGAUAGUUCAUUCAAAUUUCUGCCCUAUCAGCUUUCGACGGUAGUGUAGUGGACUACCGUGGCGUUAACGGGUAACGGAGAAUUAGGGUUCGAUUCCGGAGAGGGAGCCUGAGAAACGGCUACCACAUCCAAGGAAGGCAGCAGG